UUUGCCCUACGGGAGGCAGCAGUGGGGAAUAUUGCGCAAUGGGCGAAAGCCUGACGCAGCGACGCCGCGUGAGGGAUGAAGGUCUUCGGAUCGUAAACCUCUGUCAGCAGGGAAGAACGGUCACUGUGCUAAUCAGCAGUGAAUUGACGGUACCUGCAAAGGAAGCAUCGGCUAACUCCGUGCCAGCAGCCGCGGUAAUACGGAGGAUGCGAGCGUUAUCCGGAUUUAUUGGGUUUAAAGGGUGCGCAGGCGGCGUGUCAAGCAAGCGGUAAAAUAGCGGGGCUCAACCCCGUCGAGCCGUUUGA
rnacentral:rRNA from 1 species